CAGCAGUCGCCACGGGAAUACGUAGGUGGCAAGCGUUGUCCGGGAUUAUUGGGCGUAAAGGGCUCGCAGGCGGUUUCUUAAGUCUGAUGUGAAAGCCCCCGGCUCAACCGGGGAGGGUCAUUGGAAACUGGGAAACUUGAGUGCAGAAGAGGAGAGUGGAAUUCCACGUGUAGCGGUGAAAUGCGUAGAGAUGUGGAGGAACACCAGUGGCGAAGGCGACUCUCUGGUCUGUAACUGACGCUGAGGAGCGAAAGCGUGGGGAGCGAACAGGAUUAGAUACCCCUGUAGUCCCUGUCUCUUAUAC
rnacentral:rRNA from 1 species